rnacentral:rRNA from 1 species
UACGUAGGGUGCAAGCGUUGUCCGGAAUUAUUGGGCGUAAAGAGCUCGUAGGCGGUUUGUCGCGUCUGCUGUGAAAACCCGAGGCUCAACCUCGGGCCUGCAGUGGGUACGGGCAGACUAGAGUGCGGUAGGGGAGAUUGGAAUUCCUGGUGUAGCGGUGAAAUGCGUAGAGAUCCGGAGGAACACCAGUGGCGAAGGCGACACGCUGGGCCGUACCUGACACUGAUGCGCGACAGCAUGGGGAGCAAACAGG